AGGCAUGCACGCCCACAAUGUGAGGCUGACGAGGAGCUUAAUCAUUGGAGAUUUCUGUUCAGAUAUGCCAAACUAGGGCACUCUAAUGACAAGGCCACAGUAUCUGAAUUUCUUUCCCCUUAGUGUGGGGCUCAAAAAGGCAAGAAAUGCCCUAAUUUACAGUGCCCAUAG
rnacentral:rRNA from 1 species